CCUAUAAGAAUAAAAUCAGCAAAUAUAUGUUCUUUUACGGGAUUCUAUCAUGGGCAAUUAAUGGAAAAGCAAUCUCUGAAGAUAUUUGGGGUAAGAGUCGAAAUAAUUCUGUUUUUGGAAAAAAUCUGAUAAUUUCCAUAUCAAGAGGAUAAUUAACCCAAAUAAGUUUUUAUAGGAUUUUUCCAUCGGCAAUUAAUGGAGCAGGAUGGAAAUUUCGUGUAAUCUAAGUUUAGUUGAUUCUAUCAUAGGAAGUUUAUGCUAAGUUUACUUCCAAAUCCAAUCUAUGAUAUCGUUGCACGUCUAUUCAAUGGAAAUAAGUUCUAUCAUCGGCAGUUAAUAAUAAGUUUGGAUCGAAACUGCGAUGGAAUUGCACGACUAUUCAAUGGAAACAAAAAAGGCAGUUUCGUGGAGUUGGAGUUAGGGAGAUGUAUAUAUAAGCUACGCAGAGCUGAGUAUCUAGCAACCGAUCUCUUUUUUGUUUUUAAGAAUCAGGCUAUUAGUAUCAUACAUUCAAUGUGUGAGAAGGAACAUCAAUGACCAAUGAAGAUUCAGGGGCAAGCAAGACUGCAGGGGCAGUUUAUUCACCGUUCAUCGAUCUUGAAGCAAACAAGGCAGCUAAUAAAGUUGUAAGCAUUGGUUUUGAAGGUGUGGAAAUUCGAAAACAAGUAUGGAGUCUUGGGCUUCAUCUUAUGGAUCAUAAUGAAUAGUUUACACAACAUUCAUUGAUCUCGGACCGGAUCAAACAACUCAAAAGGAAUGGAAGUGGAGAUCUACCUUUGAGAUGCACUUCUACUUGAUUCCUAUUUUAAGUGUCUCCAUUUUUAGGUGUCGCUGAUUAUAAGAUCGACACGACGAAAAUAUGUAACCGGUCGGCUGCUUCUCUGUAAUUCGUUUUUUCUUCCCUUCUUUUUUUUGUUGGUAAUAUUGUAUCAUUGAUUCUUAUUUUGGUUUGUGCAUAUAGCUGAAGAUCAGUCAUCGUUCAAUUCUUUAUGUUUAUUUUGGUUUGUGCAUAUAGU